AUGGAUCCAGACGGCCCUUCCAGCCACACGGAGCCCAUGGACCUCCUGGCUUCUUAUGCCGCAGAAGCUCCAGGAUGUAGGCCUGGAGAAAGCCUCUUUAGGAUUCAAGAUGCGAUUGUGUUCUCCGAUAAUUACACAGACCCGGGCAGUGCCUUGUACGCCCAGUCCCCCUCGGGCCCGGAGGGCCACGGUGUUGGCAGCUGCUCCUUGGAAGUCACUGCCAGGGACUGCGAGACGUCUACGGAAGAAUUUGCUGGCCUGGGGGGUGGAGAGAUGCUGUGCGCCGUGGGGAACGCACUUGGUUCAGAGAUCCCUGCAGUGGAAUCUCCACCCCCUCCAGCAGAGAACCCGAAUGCUCAGGACGAGGGGAAGAAUGACGCUGCCCAAGCACUGUUCUGGUCCGGGAUCCUCCAAGCUCAGCUGUGCGUGCUGGACCUGCAAGGGGAGCUGGAGAAGCAAGAAGAGCCUGUCGCUGAGCUAAGCAGCUGGUCCCGGGGCCCUGAGGACGCACUGAGCCGCGCCCCGGCUGCACAGGGCUUGCCCAUCUCCUGGGAGCCGCUGGACGAAAGAGCCACCGCGGCCAGUGACAGCGAUGACGGGCAAGAGGCCGGCCUGGCGAGGCAGGAGGAGGAGAGCUGGUCGUCCGAGGGGGAGGAGGAGGAAGAGCAGUGCCUCUUCUACAACAACCCGCUCUUCCAGGAGAGCCCGGGUCCCGCAGGGCCCAGCCCCUCUGACGGCCCUGCCUUUUGGAGCGCCGCCGAGGGGGACCGCGCUGGUUCCAGCGAUGAGGCCGAUGGGGCUCCCCAGGGCGAGCCGGUGUCAGGUGGCCAGCAGGAGGAAGAAGAGCUCUCGUGCCCCUUCGCUGAGGCGACCGAACCGGGAGCCAAGGAUGAGACGUCGUGCGAUUUCCCCGCCUACACGAUGCACUGCAGCACCUGGGCCCCCUUGGUGAUCACGGAACGGGACAUCGACGGGGCCUGCUCAAUGGCUGAGGACCCGGAGGUAAGAAGCGAGCAGCCCAUUCGCCCUUUGUCAACCUCCUCU
rnacentral:lncRNA from 1 species